UGCGUAGGCGGCUUUUUAAGUCGGAUGUGAAAUCCCUGAGCUUAACUUAGGAAUUGCAUUCGAUACUGGGAAGCUAGAGUAUGGGAGAGGAUGGUAGAAUUCCAGGUGUAGCGGUGAAAUGCGUAGAGAUCUGGAGGAAUACCGAUGGCGAAGGCAGCCAUCUGGCCUAAUACUGACGUUGAGGCUCGAAGGCGUGGGGAGCAAACAGGAUUAGAUACCCGCGUA
rnacentral:rRNA from 1 species